GUGGCAGUGCCGCUGUCCGCUUUGUAAGCGGAUGAUUCUGGGUUCGAUUCCCAUCUGCUGCA
rnacentral:tRNA from 1 species